UACGUAGGGGGCAAGCGUUGUCCGGAUUUAUUGGGCGUAAAGAGCGUGUAGGCGGCCAGAUAGGUCCGUUGUGAAACCUGGAGGCUUAACCUCCAGCGGUCGAUGGAAACCCUCUGGCUAGAGUCCGGAAGAGGAGAGUGGAAUUCCCGGUGUAGCGGUGAAAUGCGCAGAUAUCGGGAAGAACACCCGUGGCGAAGGCGGCUCUCUGGAACGGUACUGACGCUGAGACGCGAAAGCGUGGGGAGCGAACAGG
rnacentral:rRNA from 1 species